CAUAAUAAUUAGUUUUUUAAUUGAAAGCUUGUAUGAAUGGUUAGACAAAAAAAUAGCUGUCUCUUUAUUACUUAUUGAAUUUAACUUUUAAGUGAAAAGGCUUAAAUUUUUUAGAGUGACGAUAAGACCCUAUAAAAGUUUAUAUAUAGAUUAAUAUAUCUUAAAUUAUUUAUAUUUAGUUAAUUUGAUUGUUAUAUUUUAUUGGGGUGAUAAAAAAAUAAUUUAUAUUAACUGUUUUUUUUUUAAUACAAUUUUAAAUGAAAUGUUAGUGAUCCUUAUUUAAAGAUUAAAAGAUAAAGUUACUUUAGGGAUAACAGCGUAAUUUUUUUUGAAAGUUCAUAUUAAUAAAAAAGUUUGCGACCUCGAUGUUGAAUUAAAAUAUCUAUUAAAUGCAGCAGUCUAAAUGAG
rnacentral:rRNA from 1 species